rnacentral:misc_RNA from 1 species
AGCAGCCGCGGUAAUUCCAGCUCCAAUAGCGUAUAUUAAAGUUGUUGCAGUUAAAAAGCUCGUAGUUGAAUUUCGGGUCAGAGGUGAAAUUCUUGGAUUUAUUGAAGACUAACUACUGCGAAAGCAUUUGCCAAGGAUGUUUUCAUUAAUCAAGAACGAAAGUUAGGGGAUCGAAGACGAUCAGAUACCGUCGUAGUCUUAACCAUAAACUAUGCCGACUAGGGAUCGGAUGAUGUUAAUUUUUAAUGACUCAUUCGGCGCCUUACGGGAAACCAAAGUGUUUGGGUUCGUGAGACA